rnacentral:rRNA from 1 species
GAGAUAACUCCUACGGGAGGCAGCAGUGGGGAAUAUUGGACAAUGGGCGCAAGCCUGAUCCAGCCAUGCCGCGUGAGUGAUGAAGGCCUUAGGGUUGUAAAGCUCUUUUGUCCGGGACGAUAAUGACGGUACCGGAAGAAUAAGCCCCGGCUAACUUCGUGCCAGCAGCCGCGGUAAUACGAAGGGGGCUAGCGUUGCUCGGAAUCACUGGGCGUAAAGGGCGCGUAGGCGGCCGAUUAAGUCGGGGGUGAAAGCCUGUGGCUCAACCACAGAAUUGCCUUCGAUACUGGUUGGCUUGAGACCGGAAGAGGACAGCGGAACUGCGAGUGUAGAGGUGAAAUUCGUAGAUAUUCGCAAGAACACCAGUGGCGAAGGCGGCUGUCUGGUCCGGUUCUGACGCUGAGGCGCGAAAGCGUGGGGAGCAAACAGGAUUAGAAACCCUUGUAGUCCUCCACU